GUGAUCCCCAGAGACGCACAGCAGCCAUCCACAAUGGGCCCUCGGUUUAUCUCCAUGGCAGGCUCUUCCCCUGCAAAGGAAACCAGCCCAAGUGCAGGGGAUGCCGGAGCUGGGACCCUCCACCUCCGGGCCAGGGCAGGGUGGAAGAUUGAAGAUGUGCUGGACACUCCCCAGGUCUUCAUCCCUUCCCCCACCGCCCCCAGGUGAAUCUGCAAAUGAUGAGGACAGACCAUAGCUGGAUACCAUCAGAGUCCCCUGACCUGCUAUUUCGAUGUGCAAAUCCUGGCUGGUAAAGAGAAUUGGGAUCGGGGCACUGAGGCAGGUAAGUGUAGGGCUAGUACUGGGAGAGUGUGCGUGGGUGGAGAGGGGCGAGUGUGCCUAGACUUGGUUUCUGUGGCUCCCAGAGACCCGGUAGGUUGGUACUCACUGCCUCUACUUGCAUUGUUCAUGCGAGGAUGCUUUCGGGCUAGAGACGGCACCAGGAUCUGCUUUUCAGGCUACAAUUCAUUUAAAGGGGUAUAGAAGGGUCCCUGGCAGGAUCUAGGGGAACCAUGCCCUCAGUGGCUAUUUUGCAAAUCAGGACUAAAUCAUGGAGCCAGUUUCGGUUGCAUGAAAUCAUCAUAUUCGGAGUUCUGUUGGGGCUCAGCGGUCACGACCCCAACUAGUAUCUGUGACUACAUGGCUUUGAUGCCUGCAUUCGCUCAGUGUGCUAAGAAUCUAGUGUUGCCCUGAGCUGUGGUGUAGGUCGCCGUCAUGGCUCGGAUCCCACAUUGCUAUGACUGUGGUGUAGGCCAGCAGCCGAGGCUCUGGUUUGACCCCUAGCCUGGGAACUUCCAUAUACUGCAGGUGCAGCCCUAAAAAGCAAAAAAAAAAACAAAACAAAAAAAAAAAAAAAAAAAAAAAAAAAAACAAAAAAAAAAACAAAAAAAAAAAAGGAAAAGAAAGAAAUACUGUAUUCUUUCUCACCUUAAGUCUUUUUUUCUCUCUGUCUAGAACUCUAUACCGUCUCUCUUUUUCUUUUUCCCCUUUCUUUGCCUACCUAAUUUUAUCCACCCAUCAAAUCUUGGUCAAUUUUUCCAAGUUUGGGCUCUGAGUUUGGACCUGGUGGCCCAACUCUAUGCCUCUCAAUACCCUAUUCUUCCUCCAGUUGUUAAUAUUCAUCACACGAUGUAUUCUCCUCUUUUUGACUGGAGUAUAAUUUCCCCAAAGGCAGGAAACUUAACCUAUUCUAACCUCAGAUCAAACAAAUUGACUUAAAUAGGAGUUCCUUGUGGCUUAGCAGGUUAAGGGUUAAGAAUCCAGCAUUGUCACUGCAGUGGCUUGGGUUUAUUCCCUGGCCUGGGAACGUCUGCAUGCUGCAAGAGUGGCCAAAACAAAUAAAACAAAACAAAAAAUUGACUUAAAUGAUGAA
rnacentral:lncRNA from 1 species